AUGGAUACCACCUCGGGCCAGACCCACGCUCACAGGCAGGCCAGUGCCACCCAGGCCGAGCCCAUCAAGACUCGGCCUGUGGGUGUCUAGGGCACUGCAGCCCUGGUCGUGGUUGCCCUAGGCUAUCCGGCGCGGCCACAGGGCUGCCAGCCCCGGCCGAGCCACCGACUCCUCCCCGGCGAAGAGGUGGUGGCGCCACCGUGAAAGAAAAGCCAGAGAAGGAAGAAAAGAAAGAAAGAAAAAUAAAAUAAAAUAAAAAGUAAAAGCUCACCAGACCCUUGAGCCUUCAUCCUCUCCAGCCUUACCUUGCCGGGGACGGAGCGGGUAAAGACUCUCGGGUGUAGUCCGGAUCUCGACCUCAUCUCCGAACCUCCUUCCCCUCUCCGACAUCACUUCGAAGAAGAGGAAGGGCCGGCCUUUUGCUGAUACUGCUCCGAGGUGGGAACCCCGACUCGGCCGGAGGGCCAGGGAAGUCCCAUCCUGGUCGCCGACAAGAGGAAGGGGAGAAGACGACUAGGGUUCCGGUGGAGAAGAAGGAGAGGGAG
rnacentral:lncRNA from 1 species